CUGGCUCAGGAUGAACGCUAGCGACAGGCUUAACACAUGCAAGUCGAGGGGCAGCACGGGAGUAGCAAUACAACUGGUGGCGACCGGCGCACGGGUGAGUAACGCGUAUGCAACCUACCUAUCAGAGGGGAAUAACCCGGCGAAAGUCGGACUAAUACCGCAUAAAACAGGGGCACCGCAUGGUGAUAUUUGUUAAAGAAAUUCGCUGAUAGAUGGGCAUGCGUUCCAUUAGGUAGUUGGUGAGGUAACGGCUCACCAAGCCGACGAUGGAUAGGGGAACUGAGAGGUUGGUCCCCCACACUGGUACUGAGACACGGACCAGACUCCUACGGGAGGCAGCAGUGAGGAAUAUUGGUCAAUGGGCGGGAGCCUGAACCAGCCAAAGUCGCGUGAAGGAAGAAGGAUCUAUGGUUCGUAAACUUCUUUUGCAGGGGAAUAAAGUGCGGGACGUGUCCUGUUUUGUAUGUACCCUGAGAAUAAGGAUCGGCUAACUCCGUGCCAGCCGCCGC
rnacentral:rRNA from 1 species